rnacentral:pre_miRNA from 1 species
GAGACACCCCUGUGGGGCAGGACGUGCUUCAGUGGGGCUUUGGUGCUCACUGAGUCUGCCCCUUGAAUGUGUCUCU